GGUGGAGCUCCUUCCAGCGUGGCCUGUCGGCUUCGGAAGCUGCUGUCUCCGGUAAGGAAACGGCCAUUCCAGGUAUCCCAAGCCACUGAGAGGGUUCUCCCGACGCCGGAGCACCAUCACCCGUGGGUAAAAUGUGCAGCCCUGUACAUAGCAAAAUGAUGAAUCAACAGGAUGGUGAUUUUCCCACGGGAGUAUUGCCAUCAGUAUCAGUUCCUGGUUCAUCAGAAACAGGGAAGAAUGGAGAGGACGAAGGUGCGUCUCAUGGGAGCUGAGUGAAAUGAGAAGCCAACUGGGACUUGCCUGGGAAAAGCAACUGAAGUUGGAACAUACUCUACAGUGUUAUAUUUUACAUGUUUUAUUAAAAGUAGUGUCAACGGUGGGAAAGGGAAAACUUGAUGCGCGGGCAACUUAGCUUUGGUACAUACAAUAAAGGUAAAAGAGGAGAGACAAAUCUAUAUGCAAUAUGAAUCAUCAGGGAUAGCCACUAAAACACAGUACCUAAAAUGUGAAAUACCACAGGCAUAACAAUGUCUCUAACAAGAUGAGAAAAUAUUGUGGGAAAAUUGAACACGGAAUCGGUGCCUCUUACUGUAUGACACAAACCCUUCCUAAAGCAACUACUUAGUAUGUUGAACUGAAAUAAACAAUUAAAGGUACAUUUCACAGAGCGCGAUGCAUGCCGGAACAGGGCAAGAGGGCUCAGUAGAAAUUAAGCAAAUCAUAUGUCAUUUUAAAAUGGUAUCAAAAGAAAAUAUCUGAACUAAACGAAAAAAAAAAAAAAAAAAAAAAAUGGCCAAAACAGAUAUCACAACCAAAAACUGAUAUUGUUAAAGUAGUUUCGAAUAGCUGGAGUAACUCAGCGGGCCAGGCAGCAUCUCUGGAGAGAAGGAAUAGGUGAUGUUUCGGGUCAACACCUCUCUGAAGAAGGGUAUCGACCCGAAAUGUUACCCAUUCCUUCUCUCCAGAGAUGCUGUCUGUCCCGCUGAAUUACUCCAGCUUUUCGUGACUAUCUUCGGUUUAAACCAGCAUCUGUAGUUAUUUCCUACACAUUGAUAAAGUAGUAUCGGCCCAAACAAAUGAAAUAUUAAGAUGUGCUUUAUUCUUAACUCUGGGUACUUUAACUUUGACUGGAAUGAAGUGGCCAAGUUACUGUUAAAGAGACAACCAAAGGCAGACAAAAAGUGGUUAAAGUUUUUUGGGGAAGUUAAAAGAUAUUUUGAAGAAGAGGAAAAAUAUAUACUUCACUUACUAACGUGCUUGUGAAUAAUGGCCCAGAGGCAAAGAGAAAGUGAAGUUUGAAUUUUGAAUUAAACAAACCAAAACAACAGAUUAAAAGUAUCAUACAGUAAAGGAGUAGAUUUAACACAGCAACAACUAUAGCUAGCCAAUCCUACUAUAGAUAUAACUAUAUAUAGAAUCACAACCGAUACAAUGACCACGGAAGAAGAAACAACAAACGUUACGGCUCAAGGCCCUGGCUCAACAAGAACAGUAAAAAUUGCACUAAAAAUUAAUGAUUCCUUGAGAAGUUAGAACAACACUCACUUGGGGAUGGACUCCUGCACCCAAAGAAAUCCAGCUAUUGAGUUAACUCAUGGUAAAUUGAUACAGUAACAAAAAGGCA